rnacentral:rRNA from 1 species
ACGGGUGAGUAACGCGUGGGAACAUACCCUUUUCUACGGAAUAGCUCUGGGAAACUGGAAUUAAUACCGUAUACGCCCUACGGGGGAAGGAUUUAUCGGGGAAGGAUUGGCCCGCGUUGGAUUAGCUAGUUGGUGGGGUAAAGGCCUACCAAGGCGACGAUCCAUAGCUGGUCUGAGAGGAUGAUCAGCCACAUUGGGACUGAGACACGGCCCAAACUCCUACGGGAGGCAGCAGUGGGGAAUAUUGGACAAUGGGCGCAAGCCUGAUCCAGCCAUGCCGCGUGAGUGAUGAAGGCCUUAGGGUUGUAAAGCUCUUUCACCGAUGAAGAUAAUGACGGUAGUCGGAGAAGAAGCCCCGGCUAACUUCGUGCCAGCAGCCGCGGUAAUACGAAGGGGGCUAGCGUUGUUCGGAAUUACUGGGCGUAAAGCGCACGUAGGCGGAUAUUUAAGUCAGGGGUGAAAUCCCAGAGCUCAACUCUGGAACUGCCUUUGAUACUGGGUAUCUUGAGUAUGGAAGAGGUAAGUGGAAUUGCGAGU